GACGAACGCUGGCGGCGUGCUUAACACAUGCAAGUCGAACGGUAAGGCCCUUCGGGGUACGACGAGUGGCGAACGGGUGAGUAACACGUGGGUGAUCUGCCCUGCACUUCGGGAUAAGCCUGGGAAACUGGGUCUAAUACCGGAUAGGACCAUCGACUUCACGGUUUGUGGUGGAAAGCUUUUGCGGUGUGGGAUGGGCCCGCGGCCUAUCAGCUUGUUGGUGGGGUAAUGGCCUACCAAGGCGACGACGGGUAGCCGGCCUGAGAGGGUGUCCGGCCACACUGGGACUGAGAUACGGCCCAGACUCCUACGGGAGGCAGCAGUGGGGAAUAUUGCACAAUGGGCGCAAGCCUGAUGCAGCGACGCCGCGUGAGGGAUGACGGCCUUCGGGUUGUAAACCUCUUUCUAAUAGGGACGAAGCGCAAGUGACGGUACCUAUAGAGGAAGCACCCGGCCGAACCUACGUGCCAGCAGCCG
rnacentral:rRNA from 1 species